GCCGCUAGGAGCCGUCACUUCUUCAGUGGUGUUUGAGAUCUCGCCGCGCGUAGUUGUAACGAGUAGUCUCUAACACAUCCGAACAUUAACAUUUAACACGAGGUUCGAACCUCCUUUUUUUUUUAUAUAAGUUAUACCGCGUAUCGAACAAAAGUGACGUGGACGUGAGAAAUAAUAUAUAUUGUUAUUUUUUUUUUAAAUAAAUAAAAUGAGUGAUACUAACCCUACGACGCAAAGUAUAGCAGACUAUUUAGCACAGUUAUUAAAAGAUAAAAAGCAACUUGCAGCGUUCCCGAAUGUUUUUAUACACGUGGAAAGACUACUAGAUGAAGGUAAGAGCGCGAGACCGCGCGUGGCCAGUUGCGUAACGCCCCCCGGCCCCUGCUGUUGCCCGCCGCCCCCUCCAGACUGCGCGCGCGUCGCUCGGCCGGUGACACGGCGAUGGCGGUGAGGCCAAACGGGAAGCCUACGAUUCACUCGUCCUUAUGGACACACAUGAAUACUCACGUUGGCAAGCCAUCUUUCAACAGACGAGAGAGCCAAACGCCUGAUAGUGCAUCUUCGGUUUUUUUUGUUCAUUGUAAAUAAAUAUACAACUCAUGAUAACUAAUGGUCAAUUAGGUUAGGUUAGCUACAUUAUAAAUACUUGAAAACAUUGUGGACGGUUAAUUUGGUUAGGAUAGCUACAUUAAAGAUACUGUGAAAUCAUGUAAACGGUUUCCCCCAAAUAAAUACACCUGUUGUGGUACGGAAAAAAAAAACCCGAGCAUGAACUUCGUGUUUGGCUCUCUCGUCUGUGAAAAGAAGGCUUGCCAACGUGAGUAUUCGGGUAUGUCCAGAAGGACGAGUGAAUCGUAGGCUUCCCUACAACGGAAACUUGCCAACGAGCGCUGCUGCUGCUGCUGUCGGCACGUAAUUUUAUAGCGUUGCAUUUUUCGUCACGCCCCGAUGACGUCACCGAGGCGAUGACAUCCUGAGGGCCGUAAAGCAUUGUCACUUGGAGCAGUAGUGACAUCGCGGGAGGUUUAGCGCCCGAGGAGGUGUUUAACUACGCGUUGUAUGUAUGGCGGGUCUCAUCCUUAAGUUUGUGCAGGAUGCAUUCAAAUUGGCAUUUACUAUCUCUUUCCAAUGUGCUAUUCCUGUCGAUGGCGCUGUCCUCGUUUUGGUGUGCUGUUUUGCCGUCUAUACAUCAUAGAAAAAAAAAGUUUAGGACAAAACUUUGUAAUGUAAUAAUUAUAUAUAUAUACAUACAUAUAUAUAUAUAUAUAUAUAUAUAUAUAUAUA